rnacentral:rRNA from 1 species
UUCUUCGGAAGGAAGCUCAAGUGACUGAGUGGCGGACGGGUGAGUAACGCGUGGGUAACCUGCCUCAUACAGGGGGAUAACAGUUAGAAAUGACUGCUAAUACCGCAUAAGCACACGUGAUCGCAUGAUCGAGUGUGAAAAACUCCGGUGGUAUGAGAUGGACCCGCGUCUGAUUAGCUAGUUGGUGGGGUAACGGCCCACCAAGGCGACGAUCAGUAGCCGGCCUGAGAGGGUGAACGGCCACAUUGGGACUGAGACACGGCCCAAACUCC